rnacentral:lncRNA from 1 species
GAGACCCAGAGCAAGAGAGGUAUCCUGACUGAAAUAUAUUCCAUUAAACAUGGCAUUUUUACCAAUGGGGAUGAUUUAGAGAAAAUCUCACACCAUACCUUCUACAAUGAGCUUCCUGAGCAACACCUUGUUCUGUUUACAGAUGCUCCCAGAAGGUCAACAGAGAAAAAAUGACACAUAUCAUAUUUGAGACUUUCAACACUCCAGCCAGAAUAUCUUGGCCACAACUUGACAGGCUACAAGAUACAGACAGAAAGAGGGCACAGUCUCACUACCACAGCUGAAAGGGGAAUCGUUUGUGACAUCAAUAAAAACUGUGUCUCGUUGCCUGGACUUUGAGCAGGAUAUGGUCACUGUUGCUUCAUCUUCCUCCUGGAGAAAAACUAGGAACUUCCUGAUGGCCAGAGGAACAUCACUGCCCCAAGGAGAGGUGCAGGUGUUCAAAGGGCUUCUUCCAGCUAUCCUUCCUGGGUCCAGAAGCCAGUGACAUUCAUGAGACCACCUUCAUUUCUAUCACAAAGUCAUGAAACAACAAUCAAGAGAGAUGGAUUUUUCUGGAUACCUUGGGACUUACAUAUCUGUCUGGAUACCUUGAGAGUUACAAAGUUCCUGGGUCCUGGGGUCGGAGCUGAUGAGCAAACUGAGGAGGUUUUAUUUUGUUUUGGUUUUCAGUUUUUUGGUUUUCUAUACCACCUACGCACUUCCCAAAGAAUAUGAGGACCAAGAGAAGAAUAAGCUUGAGCCAUGUCCUGGCUUAUACUCAGACAAUGAAAAUAAAGCUGAAAUAAUAGAGA